GGCUGGUUGGCGCAGUCGGCAGUUGGUUGGUUGGCGCAGUCGGCAGCCGGACGGGGAGCCGGCAGGAGCGGCCGGGCAGUCGGACUAAGGGGCUUUGCUAGCCCCGAUGUCUUGAAUAAUUGUCUUGCCGUCUUCGGGGUACCCGUCGCCCAUUACUCCGACAGUAGCCCCCAAGCCUCCGGGCAACUUGGCAAAGUUGGGCGGAGGUUUUUUGGCGAGUGUUCAUGGAAAUGAUCAUAAAAAAGACAAAGUUAGUCCACGUAGAUAUAUCAAA
rnacentral:rRNA from 1 species